rnacentral:rRNA from 1 species
UUCCUACGGGUGGCUGCAGUAGGGAAUAUUGGACAAUGGGCGCAAGCCUGAUCCAGCCAUGCCGCGUGAGUGAAGAAGGCCCUCGGGUUGUAAAGCUCUUUUGUCCGGAAAGAAAAGCAUCGGGUUAAUACCCCGGUGUUCUGACGGUACCGGAAGAAUAAGCACCGGCUAACUUCGUGCCAGCAGCCGCGGUAAUACGAAGGGUGCAAGCGUUACUCGGAAUUACUGGGCGUAAAGCGUGCGUAGGUGGUUCGUUAAGUCUGAAGUGAAAGCCCUGGGCUCAACCUGGGAAUGGCAUUGGAAACUGGCGGACUGGAGUGCGGUAGAGGGUAGCGGAAUUCCCGGUGUAGCAGUGAAAUGCGUAGAGAUCGGGAGGAACAUCCGUGGCGAAGGCGGCUACCUGGACCAGCACUGACACUGAGGCACGAAAGCGUGGGGAGCAAACAGGAUUAGAUACCCUAGUAGUCGCA